GACGAACGCUGGCGGCGUGCCUAAUACAUGCAAGUCGAGCGAAGUUUUUCUGGUGCUUGCACUAGAAACACUUAGCGGCGAACGGGUGAGUAACACGUACAGAACCUGCCUCAUAGACUGGGACAACUAUUGGAAACAAUAGCUAAUACCGGAUAACAGUAUUUCUCGCAUGAGAGAUAUUUACAAGUUGGUUAUGCUAACACUAUGAGAUGGCUUUGCGGUGCAUUAGCUAGUUGGUGGGGUAAAGGCCCACCAAGGCGACGAUGCAUAGCCGACCUGAGAGGGUGAUCGGCCACACUGGGACUGAGACACGGCCCAGACUCCUACGGGAGGCAGCAGUAGGGAAUCUUCCGCAAUGGGCGAAAGCCUGACGGAGCAACGCCGCGUGAGUGAAGAAGGAUUUCGGUUCGUAAAGCUCUGUUGUUAGGGAAGAAUGGAUAUGUAGUAACUAUACAUGUAAGAGACGGUACCUAACCAGAAAGCCACGGCUAACUACGUG
rnacentral:rRNA from 1 species